GACGAACGCUGGAGGCGUGCUUAACACAUGCAAGUCGAACGAUGAAGCUGGAGCUUGCUCUGGCGGAUUAGUGGCGAACGGGUGAGUAACACGUGAGAAAUCUGCCCUUGACUCUGGGAUAACUGCGGGAAACUGUAGCUAAUACCGGAUACUUUCCCUGGUGGGCAUCCACUGGGGAAGAAAGAAUUUCGUUCAAGGAUGAUCUCGCGGCCUAUCAGCUUGUUGGUGAGGUAAUGGCUCACCAAGGCGACUACGGGUAGCCGGCCUGAGAGGGUGACCGGCCACAACGGGACUGAGACACGGCCCAGACUCCUACGGGAGGCAGCAGUGGGGAAUAUUGCAAAAUGGGCGCAAGCCUGAUGCAGCAACGCGGCGUGAGGGAUGAAGGCCUUCGGGUUGUAAACCUCUUUUAGCAGGGAAGAAGCGAAAGUGACGGUACCUGCAGAAAAAGCACCGGCUAACUACGUGCCAGCCGCCGCCGUAA
rnacentral:rRNA from 1 species